rnacentral:misc_RNA from 1 species
UUUCCGUAGGUGAACCUGCGGAAGGAUCAUUAAUGAGUUGUCAUGGGGUUCGAUGCUGGCAGCCAAUUUUUGGAUGCAUGUGCUUGCCCUAACAAUCAUCUUCCAAACACCUGUGCACAUUUUUGAGGAAGUCUUGAGUUGGUUGCCGCUCUUGGGUGAUUUUCUCACAUUCCCUUAAAUCAUUAUACGCUAUUAACAAUGUUGAACGUGCUCUGUGCCGCAAGGCUAUUAAUAUAAUACAACUUUUAACAACGGAUCUCUUGGCUCUC